rnacentral:rRNA from 1 species
UGUUUGAUGUUCUAACGUGGACCCGUGAUCCGGGUUGCGGACAGUGUCUGGUGGGUAGUUUGACUGGGGCGGUCUCCUCCUAAAGAGUAACGGAGGAGCACGAAGGUUGGCUAAUCCUGGUCGGACAUCAGGAGGUUAGUGCAAUGGCAUAAGCCAGCUUGACUGCGAGCGUGACGGCGCGAGCAGGUGCGAAAGCAGGUCAUAGUGAUCCGGUGGUUCUGAAUGGAAGGGCCAUCGCUCAACGGAUAAAAGGUACUCCGGGGAUAACAGGCUGAUACCGCCCAAGAGUUCAUAUCGACGGCGGUGUUUGGCACCUCGAUGUCGGCUCAUCACAUCCUGGGGCUGAAGUAGGUCCCAAGGGUAUGGCUGUUCGCCAUUUAAAGUGGUACGCGAGCUGGGUUUAGAACGUCGUGAGACAGUUCGGUCCCUAUCUGCCGUGGGCGCUGGAGAACUGAGGGGGGCUGCUCCUAGUACGAGAGGACCGGAGUGGACGCAUCACUGGUGUUCGGGUUGUCAUGCCAAUGGCACUGCCCGGUAGCUAAAUGCGGAAGAGAUAAGUGCUGAAAGCAUCUAAGCACGAAACUUGCCCCGAGAUGAGUUCUCCCUGAGACUUUAGGUCUCCUGAAGGAACGUUGAAGACGACAACGUUGAUAGGCCGGGUGUGUAAGCGCAGCGAUGCGUUGAGCUAACCGGUACUAAUGAACCGUGAGGCUUAACCUU